rnacentral:rRNA from 1 species
GUUUGAUCCUGGCUCAGGACGAACGCUGGCGGCGUGGAUAAGGCAUGCAAGUCGAACGCGAACAGAACAACUAAUUCGUUAGUAGUUCUAAGUAGAGUGGCGAACGGGUGAGUAACACGUGGAUAACAUACCUUUCAGUGGGGAAUAACAUCGGGAAACUGAUGCUAAUACCGCAGAUGUCAUAACAUUAAUUUUGAUUUGACUAAAGGGGGGGCUCCUUUGGGACCUCUCGCUGAUUGAUUGGUCCGCGGCCCAUUAGCUUGUUGGUGGGGUAAUGGCCUACCAAGGCAACGAUGGGUAGCCGGCCUGAGAGGGUGUCCGGCCACACUGGGAUUGAGAUACGGCCCAGACUCCUUCGGGAGGCAGCAGUCGAGAAUCUUCCACAAUGUACGAAAGUAUGAUGGAGCGACGCCGCGUGUGUGAUGAAGGCUUUAUGAGUCGUAAAGCACUGUCAGAGGGGAAGAACAAGCGUAUAAAUAAUAAGUGUACGCUCUGACGUACCCUCAGAGGAAGCUCCGGCUAACUCCGUGCCAGCAGCCGCGGUAAUACGGAGGGAGCAAGCGUUGUCCGGAAUCAUUGGGCGUAAAGGGCACGUAGGCGGUUCGGUAAGUCGAAUGUGAAAUCUCAUAGCUUAACUGUGAAACUGCGUUCGAAACUACCGAACUUGAGUACUGGAGAGGUAUGCGGAAUUCCUGGUGUAGCGGUGGAAUGCGUGGAUAUCGGGAAGAACACCAGUGGCAAAGGCGGCAUACUGGCCAAGUACUGACGCUGAGGUGCGAAAGCGUGGGGAGCAAACGGGAUUAGAUACCCCGGUAGUCCACGCUGUAAACGAUGGGUACUAGGUUUUGGGGG